GAAUUGAUAUGAAAGUCUUAUUAUGUUAGAAAAGAGUUUCUCCAGUUUCAUAUAUUUGUGCUGAGAAUGAAUUUCAGUUUUGUCCAACCUUAGUGUGGAAAACUCAACAAUCACAGCAAACCUGCUUGAUUAAAUUACAGAAAAAAGUACAAACUAGAGAUCCAAGUUGUUGGUGCCAUUUAUGAGGACAUUCACUGUGGCACAUCAAUUUACAGUCUUCUCUGCUCUCUUCUUUUGAUCUCAAUACAAAAAAAACCCAUCAACUUUAAAACUGAUAACACUGGCAGGAAAAAGUGAAUGGAAGAAACUUAUUACAGGUACCGAUACCCGAUGCUCAUUUCUUUAGCAAGGCACUACACUGAGCCAUAAUCUUUGAUGCCCUAGUAAUUGCAUCAGUCAUGUAGAAAUUCUCCACGGCAGGUGUGAAUGGAGUUGCACUUACUUUUUGGCUGACUUCAGGUCUCAAAGAAGUUGAGAAUGUGGCUGGUUGUCUCUCAUCCACUUCUAGGAGAUUUGGUGCUACUGUCUUAAUUCGAGAUCGGAUUGCACCUAGACUAUCAUAGGGUAAUGCGACACCUGCCACUUCAGACAGCGCUCUUACUAUCUUCCAAUCAUCCCUGGCGUCGCCAACAGUGGGAACUGCUGGCAUUGUGAUCUGAGCGCAUCCUUCUGUGUUUUCAUAUAUUCCUUCUUUCUCUGUGAAAGCAGAUGCUGGCAAAAUGACAUUUGCACGAUACACACCGCGAUCACCAUGGUGACCUUGGUAAACCACAAAGGCAUCAUCUGGAAGUUUGUCCAAGUUCACAUCAUCAGCACCCAUCAAAUAUACAAACUUUGCAGACUCAAUGCAUUUAUCAGAUUCAGGCACAAGUCCAAGAUCAAGAGCGGCAGCUUGGGCAGCAUUCAGAAGCAAAACAUUUAGUCCAUUCCAAUCAGGUCUCACGACAUUAUUGUUCUUUGCAAUUGUGUCAACGGCAGCAAAGACAGCAUCCUUAUCAUCUCGAUCAAACACACCAGCACCGACGAUGAUCACUGGGUUCUUAGCAUUUUUGAGAGCUGAGGAAAAUGGAUGGCUUCCCUUGGCAAUUUCAACUAGUGUUUGAGGGUCUGUUCCAAGAUGUUCAUGAUCAUAGUUGAAAUCAGCAGCAGGCCCAACAUAACCUACCUUAGCAUUUGUAGCUUUAACUGUUUUGCGGAUUCUGGCGUUCACCAUAGCAGCUUCCACUCUUGGCUGGGUUCCAACCAAGAGGAAAGCAUCUGCUUUCUCCAAGCCACUAAUGCUGGUAUUCAUAAUAUAUCCAGAACGAAGGUCAGCAUUUGGACUCAUGCCAUUUCCUUCACAAAAGAUGUUGUUUGACCCCAUUUUGUUCAAAAGAUCUUUCAGUGCCAUCAUGGAUUCUGCGUCAGACAGUUUUCCUGCAACACCAACAAUUUCCUCUGGCUUAAUUUGAUGCAUGACUUCAGCAACAAUAGCUAGGGCAUCCCGCCAGCUCACUGCCUGAAAUCGUCCAUCAGCACCACGGAUCAUGGGGUCAUUGAGCCUUUGCCUCUUCAGACCAUCAUAAAAGAAUCGUGUUUUGUCUGAUAUCCAUUCUUCAUUGAUGUCCUCAUUUAAUCGUGGUACAACACGCAUGACCUCCGGACCUCUACUAUCAAUUCGGAUGUUAGAACCAACAGCAUCAGUCACAUCAAUGCUUUCGGUGCCCUUUAGCUCCCAAUUUCUGGCUUUGAAGGCAAAAGGUUUUGAUGUAAGGGCUCCUACUGGACAUAUAUCAAUCACGUUCCCUGAAAGCUCACUUGUCAUAAGCUUUUCAACAUAAGUUCCAAUUUCUUCUCCACUACCACGACCCAACAUUCCAAGGUCCUCCACUCCAGCUACUUCUGAUGCAAACCUGACACACCUUGUACACUGGAUGCACCGGGUCAUCACAGUCUUCACCAAUGGACCCAAAUUCUUGUCAACCACAGAUCUCUUCAUUUCAGUGAAACGCCCGCGGUCGGAUCCAAAGGCCAUAGAUUGAUCCUGGAGAUCACAUUCUCCUCCCUGAUCACAAAUUGGGCAAUCAAGUGGAUGAUUCAUAAGCAAGAACUCCAUAACUCCUUCACGAGCCUUUUUGGCAAUAGGUGUAUCUGUCUUGAUCUUCAUUCCUGGAAGUGCAGGCAUGGCACAAGAAGCAACAGGCUUAGGAGAUUUCUCAACCUCCACAAGACACAUUCUGCAAUUUCCAGCAAUAGAAAGUCGGCUAUGAUAACAGAAUCUCGGAAUGUCAACUCCGGCAAUUUCACAAGCCUGAAGCACAGUCAUACCCUUAGGGAUUUUGACCGGGUACCCAUCAACGAAAACCUCAAUAACAUCAUCCGGAUUGGGUAAAUGAACUCGAGCACCACCAACUGGGUUUCUCUUCGGAAGAUCUGAUGGUGCGUCCGCAGCUGCUGCUGCGGCGGCGGCAGCAUCGGCGUUUUUGAGCUCCGGCGUGGAGACGAUGGUGCGGGUAGAGUUUCGAAUGAUUCUAGAAGAUCGUAGGGCUCGAGAAGCGAGUAACCCUAAUCCCAUUGCGAUUGAUCUUCAGUUAUUCGAAUGGAGAAAUGGAGAGAGUAAAUUUGUUUUUGGAGUGUGG
rnacentral:misc_RNA from 1 species